CCAGGCCAGCUGUUGCCAGCAAACCGAAACACACCGAGUCCCAUUGACCCCGACACCAUCCAGGUCCCAGUCGGGUAUGAACCAGACCCCGCAGACCUUGCCCUCUCCAGCAUCCCGGGGCAGGAAAUGUUUGACCCUCGCAAACGGAAGUUCUCCGAGGAAGAACUGAAGCCACAGCCCAUGAUUAAGAAAGCUCGCAAAGUCUUCAUUCCUGAUGAUUUGAAGGAUGACAAGUACUGGGCGAGGCGCAGAAAGAACAAUAUGGCGGCCAAGCGC
rnacentral:lncRNA from 1 species